AGGAAUUUGCAGCCUUCCUCUUCCUGGUACCGAAAAUAACAGAAACCAGGGUACAGCUCUGUGUAAAAAGACUAGGCCAGUGGUGAGGGUGCUGCUUCUACUUCCUCCUGGACUCUUAUGAGGACUCAGCUCAUUUUCUGGUAUUAAUGUGCAUGUUGAAAACAAGCUGGGAGAAUCUGUAGCUUCAGGUUGCUGACUAUUUGAACAACCCAGGCAAGAGGUUCAGUCUUUGAAGUCAUUUUCCCUUUGGGAGCUUGACAGCCACCUGCCAGCCACAUUUGCGCCCUUCACCACAUUGUGAUCUCUGAAUGAACUCUUCCUACUGAUGCCUAGCAGCCUCUAUUCCAGAUCAAUUCUGUGGUAGGCAAAAUAGUGGCCUCUCGAAUAUCCACAUCCCCAGAACCUGCGAAAGAGUUAAGUUACAUGGGGAGGGGAAUUCUGGUAGCAAAUGGAAGUAAUGUUGCUAAUUAUUAGUUUAACUUAAAGGAGGGAGAAUGCCUGGGUAUCCAGGUGGGCCCAAUGUCAUCACUGGCAUCCUUAAACAGGGAAGAGGGAUGGAGGAGAGUCAGUACCAGAGUGAUGUGGUGAGAGAAAGACUUGGCUGGCCCUUGCUGGUUUGAAGCUAAAAGGAGGCUGUAAGUUGAACAAUGUGGGCAAUCUCUAGAAACUGGUAAAGGCAUGAGAAUGAAUUUUCUCCUUUAGCCUCCAGGAAAAGAAUGGAGCCCUGACAUCACCUUGAUUUUUAGCUUAGUGAGACCCAAUGUUGGACUUCUGAAUUCCAGAAAGUUGCAAACUAUUUGUUGAAAAGACUUUGUUUUCCCCAUUAAACUGCACCAGCAUCAUUCAACCAUGUAAGUAUUACUGCAUGUUCUGUUUGCUUCCAUUGAUCUAUGUGUCUGUAUUCCAAUACCAGAGUGGCUGUUGUUGUCACUUAAUAGUAAUUCUUCAAAUAGUCUAAUGCCUCCAAAUCUCUUUCCUUUUUUGAGAAUUGCUUUGUCUGUCCUAGGUCUUUUUUUAUACAUUUUAUAGUCAGAUUGUCAAUGUCUAUAAUAUGAUUUUUUUAUUGGAUUGGCUUCAAUCUAUAGAUUUAGAGAGAAUGGGAUUCUUUAAAAUGUUGAGUUUUCAAUUCAUGAACAUAGCAUGUUUAUUUAGGUUGUCUUUAGAUUUUUUCUUAACAAAUGUUUGUAAUUUUUAGUAUAGAAGACUAAAAUAUGCCUUUAAGUAUUUUUUUUGAUGCUACUAAAUUGUAUGGUUUAUUUUCCAAUUAUUUGUUACCAUUGAAAUCCAGUUGAUUUCUGUAUGCUGAUCUUGAUUCUAGGAUUUUUCUUAUUCAUUAGUCAUUGUAUCUUUUUAGGUUUCAUACGAUUUUCUACAUACAUAAUCAUGCAACCAUGUCUUCUAUGCAUAAAGACAAAUUUAUUAUUUCUGUUCCAGUCUUUACACCAUUUAUUUUUCCUUGCAUAUUGCAUUUGAUAGAAGCUUUAAUACAGUGUUGGACAGAGGGUAAUAGUGAAUACACUCACCUUGUUUUUGAUGUUAGGGAAAAAGUGCUGUGUGUAUCAAUUUUAACUAUCAUGUUAAAGGACAGUUUUUCACAGAUGUCAUUUAUAAUUGAAGUGUUUUUCUAUGCUUUAAGAAUUUGUCAUGAAUGAGUGUUAAAUGUCAUCAAAUGCUUUUUCCUGCUUUAAUUAAAGUAAUUAUGAUUUUUAUUCUGUGAAAAGUGAUUUUAAAAAAUCUUGUCACAACCUUAUAAUCCUGGGAUAAACUCCAUUUGAUUCAUUCUUUUUAUGUUGUGCUAGAUUCCAUUUGCUAAUAUUUGGUUGAGGAUUUUUAUAAGUAGGUUCACAAGAAAUAUUGGUCUGUAAUUUUAUUUUAAUGUCCUUGUUUAUGCUCGUUUUAUGGUUAUGCUGGCCUCAUGAAUAGACCUAGAAAAUAUUGCCACACCGUAUUUUCCCAAAAUAAUUCAUGUAAAAUAUUAAUCAUCAUUAAUAUAGAAUUUACCAGUGAAGCUAUCUGGACCUGAUGUGUUCUUUGUGGGAAAAUAUUUACCUAUGAAUUAUGUUUCUUUAAUGAACAGGGAAGCAUUCAUGGUUUCUAUUAUCAGUUUUAGAAAGCUUUUUUUUUCCCCUGGUUUUUUUUUGUCCAUUUCAUUUAACUUGUUGAAUUUAUUACUGCAAAGUUGUACAUAAUAUUCCUUUAUAGUUGAGAAUGAUGUGCUUACAUGCUGUUUCUUAGAUUUAAUCGAUUUAGAAUUUAUUGAAAUUCUUGAAUCUUUGUGGUACUUUUUUCCAUCUAGAUUUGGGGAAUUUUCAGUUUUUGUUUACUUAAUGUUUUUGUCUGAUGCAUUCUUGACAUGAUUUUUUCCCCUGAUACUCUGCACUUAGAUUUGAUGCACAAUAUAAGUCAAUGAGAUUUUGUUGAUAUCUUUCAUAAACAUUUUUCUCUCCCUUCCUCAGCUUGGAUAAUGUUAUUGACCCUUUCUUAUGUAGUGCCUAAUCAAUUGUCAGUCUAUCCAGGGUUCUUUCACUUAAUAUCAGAUAUUUUAUUUUUAGUUCUAGAAUGUCUAUUUAUUUUACAGUUUCUAUUUCCUUGCUGAAAUUUGUCCAUCUUUACUUUUAAAUUCCUCAAUGUGUUUUUAACAAAUGUUUUAAAAUCCCUAUCUGCUGUCUCUUAUAUCUGUUUUUUUUUUGGGGGGGGGAAUCUUUUUCCACUGAAUGAUUUUUUUUUCCUCUUGCCUAUAGGAAAUGUUUUCUUACUUUUUCUAAUAACUUUAUUUUAUAUGUUAAACUUUAUGGAGUGUUUCAUGUGUGUUGUCUUUAUUUUAGUCCUGUUUUGUUUUAUCUGACAGUUAAUUGGUAGCUUAUUUUGAGCAUUUCAGAUUUGGUUUCGUGUUUUGUAGGGUGGGUUGGUUUCAGGACUUUUUCUUUAUUUUCCAGUUAGAUCUAGGGUCUUUCCUCUAGGUCAUGGUCUUUCCAGGAUCUUAACUGGAUGCCUAAAUUGCUCAAUGAGGUCUCUCUACUCUAGCUGACCCAAAUUCUGACUUCUGUUUGUCCUAUGAAAACUCUAGUAUCUCUGUACUGCCUUUGAAUCCCUCCAAGUUGCUCUCUGCUAGGCUCGUGGAUUCACUGUCCUGUUCACGAGCACCUUAGCCUUCAGCCAAGGACACAAGGUGAACCUUUAUGCAGGCUUCCAGGAUGCCUUCCCUAUGCAGCUUCUUGACUUUCCAUACUCUGUUUCCCCUCCAGUUCUAGCUGCCUCAGCAACCUCAUACCCUAACCUCUACCUACUUCCCUCAGAUUUCUGCUCUCUACUGGACUCUCCUCCCUACUGCAAAAUUGUAGGAAGUGUCUCAUGUAGAGAUUUGUGGAUAAUAAAUUUAUCUCAUUAGUUUUUCUUUUCUCGAGAAUGAUAAGACUGCUCUGUUUGCAAUGACUGAAAGUCAUUCUCAUAUUGUGUCCAGUGUUUAUAGGUAUUUACAUAGGAGGGUAAGUUCAAAACAAGUUACUUACAGUUCCUGGAAGCCAACAUUCUCUAACACACUUUUUGAGUACCUAAUGUGUGUAAAACCAUAUGCUCAUUAUGGGACAGAAAGAAAUAAAAAACAAGUUCUCUUCCAUCUGAGAGAGAUAAAAAGGUUGCAUGUAUAACUAAAGUAUGAGACCAGUGACUUUAUUCAGUUCCUAGAAUGCACCGAGACAUUUCCCACCUAAGACCUCGCAAGUGUAAGUCACUCUGUCUUAAAUAUAUCCUUCAACUCCUGGCCUGAAUAACUUUUAUUCACCCAUCAGAACUCAGCUAAAAUAUCACUUACUUGGGAAGUCUUCUCUGAACUCCCCCUCUAUAUUAUUCUCUAUAGCAUUAUUCUUUAUCAUGGCAUCCUGUCGUUUUCCAACACAACUCUUACCACAAUUUCUCCUUAAACAUGUCUGUGAGUAUUUAACUAUAUAUUUCUAAGUGUAAGACUAAGUACUUUUUAUACACUGCUACAUCUCUAUUCUUAACAGUACUGAAAAAAAGUAGUGUAAGAUAUUUCUUAAAUGAAAAAUUAAGGAAUGAUGAGUGUCACAGUCAGCAUAGAAAAUAUUUAUAUGCUAUAUGACAUUCAUUUCCUAUUGGAUUGAUCAGAGAAGAUCUUAAGAAGAGGUGGAAUUUUAAGAGUCAGAGAUGGGAAAAGGGGCUUUCUAGAGAAGAAAUUGGCAUAAGCUUAGAAUGUGCAAGUCAUAUUUCAGAAGGGAGUGACUAGACCCAUUUUUUUCCCGGGGAUUCAUUAGGAUAGACUGAUUAGAAAGGCAAAAAGAAAUCAGACUUGGAAGGCAAAUCGAGUUUAGAGCCCUUAUCUCACCAGCUUUAUAAUAAUAAUCAGUUUGUAAAACAUAAACCUCUAAAUAUUACCAAGGGUAUAUAAUAUUUCUUUUAAAGAUAAAUUACAUCUUUAAAAAGCUACAUAUUACAUCUUUGAAAAGCUGCAUAUUACAUAGGAGUUCCUUCCCAUCAAUAACUUCCUAAGAAGACACUGGCUGAAAAGAAAACGAUUCUGGGAGUUCCUAUCAUGGCUCAGUGGUAACAAAUCUGACUAGUAUUCAUGAGGAUGUGGGUUCAAUCCCUGGCCUCGCUCAGUGGGUUAAGGACCCGGCAUUGCUCUGAGCUGUGGUGUAGAUUGUAGAUGUGGCUCAGAUCCCACAUUGCUGUGGCUAUGGUGUAGGCCGGCAGCUACAGCUUAUGUUCUACUGCUAGCCUGGGAAUUUCCAUAUGCCAUGGGUGUGGCCCUAAAGGAAAAAAAAAAA
rnacentral:lncRNA from 1 species